CCGAAAGGAAUGCUAAUACCGCAUACGCCCUACGGGGGAAAGCAGGGGAUCUUCGGACCUUGCGCUAAUAGAUGAGCCUAAGUCAGAUUAGCUAGUUGGUGGGGUAAAGGCCUACCAAGGCGACGAUCUGUAGCGGGUCUGAGAGGAUGAUCCGCCACACUGGGACUGAGACACGGCCCAGACUCCUACGGGAGGCAGCAGUGGGGAAUAUUGGACAAUGGGCGAAAGCCUGAUCCAGCCAUGCCGCGUGUGUGAAGAAGGCCUUUUGGUUGUAAAGCACUUUAAGCGAGGAGGAGGCUACUUGGAUUAAUACUCUAGGAUAGUGGACGUUACUCGCAGAAUAAGCACCGGCUAACUCUGUGCCAGCAGCCGCGGUAAUACAGAGGGUGCGAGCGUUAAUCGGAUUUACUGGGCGUAAAGCGUGCGUAGGCGGCUUUUUAAGUCGGAUGUGAAAUCCCUGAGCUUAACUUAGGAAUUGCAUUCGAUACUGGGAAGCUAGAGUAUGGGAGAGGAUGGUAGAAUUCCAGGUGUAGCGGUGAAAUGCGUAGAGAUCUGGAGGAAUACCGAUGGCGAAGGCAGCCAUCUGGCCUAAUACUGACGCUGAGGUACGAAAGCAUGGGGAGCAAACAGGAUUAGAUACCCUGGUAGUCCAUGCCGUAAACGAUGUCUACUAGCCGUUGGGGCCUUUGAGGCUUUAGUGGCGCAGCUAACGCGAUAAGUAGACCGCCUGGGGAGUACGGUCGCAAGACUAAAACUCAAAUGAAUUGACGGGGGCCCGCACAAGCGGUGGAGCAUGUGGUUUAAUUCGAUGCAACGCGAAGAACCUUACCUGGUCUUGACAUAGUAAGAACUUUCCAGAGAUGGAUUGGUGCCUUCGGGAACUUACAUACAGGUGCUGCAUGGCUGUCGUCAGCUCGUGUCGUGAGAUGUUGGGUUAAGUCCCGCAACGAGCGCAACCCUUUUCCUUAUUUGCCAGCGAGUAAUGUCGGGAACUUUAAGGAUACUGCCAGUGACAAACUGGAGGAAGGCGGGGACGACGUCAAGUCAUCAUGGCCCUUACGACCAGGGCUACACACGUGCUACAAUGGUCGGUACAAAGGGUUGCUACCUAGCGAUAGGAUGCUAAUCUCAAAAAGCCGAUCGUAGUCCGGAUUGGAGUCUGCAACUCGACUCCAUGAAGUCG
rnacentral:rRNA from 1 species